rnacentral:rRNA from 1 species
AACGAACGCUGGCGGCAUGCCUAACACAUGCAAGUCGAACGAGACCUUCGGGUCUAGUGGCGCACGGGUGCGUAACGCGUGGGAACCUGCCCUUAGGUUCGGAAUAACUCCCCGAAAGGGGUGCUAAUACCGGAUAAUGUCUUCGGACCAAAGAUUUAUCGCCUUUGGAUGGGCCCGCGUUGGAUUAGCUAGUUGGUAGGGUAAAAGCCUACCAAGGCGAGGAUCCAUAGCUGGUCGGAGAGGAUGAUCAGCCACACUGGGACUGAGACACGGCCCAGACUGCUACGGGAGGCAGCAGUGGGGAAUAUUGGGCAAGGGGCGAAAGCCUGAUCCCGCAAUGCCGCGUGAGUGAUGAAGGCCUUAGGGUUGUAAAGCUCUUUUAGCCGGGAUGAUAAUGACAGUACCGGGAGAAUAAGCACCGGCUAACUCCGUG